GAUGAACGCUGGCGGCGUGCCUAAUACAUGCAAGUCGAGCGAACAGAUGAGGAGCUUGCUCCUCUGACGUUAGCGGCGGACGGGUGAGUAACACGUGGAUAACCUACCUAUAAGACUGGGAUAACUUCGGGAAACCGGAGCUAAUACCGGAUAAUAUAUUGAACCGCAUGGUUCAAUAGUGAAAGACGGUUUUGCUAUCACUUAUAGAUGGAUCCGCGCCGCAUUAGCUAGUUGGUAAGGUAACGGCUUACCAAGGCAACGAUGCGUAGCCGACCUGAGAGGGUGAUCGGCCACACUGGAACUGAGACACGGUCCAGACUCCUACGGGAGGCAGCAGUAGGGAAUCUUCCGCAAUGGGCGAAAGCUUGACGGAGCAACGCCGCGUGAGUGAUGAAGGCCUUCGGAUCGUAAAACUCUGUUAUUAGGGAAGAACAAAUGUGUAAGUAACUAUGCACGUCUUGACGGUACCUAAUCAGAAAGCCACGGCUAACUACGUG
rnacentral:rRNA from 1 species